UACGUAGGGGGCAAGCGUUGUCCGGAUUUAUUGGGCGUAAAGAGCGUGUAGGCGGCUUUGCAAGUCCGUUGUGAAAACUCGAGGCUCAACCUCGAGACGCCGGUGGAAACUGCAAAGCUAGAGUCCGGAAGAGGAGUGUGGAAUUCCUGGUGUAGCGGUGAAAUGCGCAGAUAUCAGGAGGAACACCAAUGGCGAAGGCAGCACUCUGGGACGUGACUGACGCUGAGACGCGAAAGCGUGGGGAGCAAACAGG
rnacentral:rRNA from 1 species